AUUGAACGCUGGCGGCAUGCCUUACACAUGCAAGUCGAACGGUAACAGGUCUUCGGAUGCUGACGAGUGGCGAACGGGUGAGUAAUACAUCGGAACGUGCCUAGUAGUGGGGGAUAACUACUCGAAAGAGUGGCUGAUACCGCAUGAGAUCUACGGAUGAAAGCAGGGGAUCGCAAGACCUUGUGCUACUAGAGCGGCCGAUGGCAGAUUAGGUAGUCGGUGGGAUAAAAGCUUACCAAGCCGACGAUCUGUUGCUGGUCUGAGAGGACGAUCAGCCACACUAGGACUGAGACACGGCCCAGACUCCUACGGGAGGCAGCAGUGGGGAAUUUUGGACAAUGGGCGAAAGCCUGAUCCAGCAAUGCCGCGUGCAGGAUGAAGGCCUUCGGGUUGUAAACUGCUUUUGUACGGAACGAAAAGCCCCGGGUUAAUACCCUGGGGUCAUGACGGUACCGUAAGAAUAAGCACCGGCUAACUACGUGCCAGCCGCCGCGGUAA
rnacentral:rRNA from 1 species